rnacentral:rRNA from 1 species
UACAGAGGUCUCGAGCGUUGUUCGGAUUUACUGGGCGUAAAGGGAGCGUAGGCGGUUUGGUGUGUUGAACGUGAAAUCCCACGACUCAACCGUGGAACGGCGUUCAAAACUGCCGGACUGGAGUACUGGAGAGGAAAGCGGAAUUCCUGGUGUAGCGGUGAAAUGCGUAGAUAUCAGGAGGAACACCGGUGGCGAAGGCGGCUUUCUGGACAGAUACUGACGCUGAGGCUCUAAAGUCAGGGGAGCAAAC